UGCGUAGGGGGCAAGCGUUGUCCGGAAUCAUUGGGCGUAAAGAGCGUGUAGGCGGCCAGAAAAGUCCGCUGUGAAAACUCGAGGCUCAACUUCGAGCUGUCGGUGGAAACUUUCUGGCUAGAGUCCGGAAGAGGAGAAUGGAAUUCCUGGUGUAGCGGUGAAAUGCGCAGAUAUCAGGAAGAACACCCGUGGCUAAGGGCGGUUCUCUAGUACGGUACUGACGCUGAGACGCGGAAAGCGUGGGGAGCGAACAGG
rnacentral:rRNA from 1 species